rnacentral:rRNA from 1 species
GACGAACGCUGGCGGCGUGCUUAACACAUGCAAGUCGAACGGAAAGGCCCUGCUUUUGUGGGUUGCUCGAGUGGCGAACGGGUGAGUAACACGUGAGUAACCUGCCCUUGACUUUGGGAUAACUUCAGGAAACUGGGGCUAUUACCGGAUAGGAGCUCCUGCUGCAUGGUGGGGGUUGGAAAGUUUCGGCGGUUGGGGAUGGACUCGCGGCUUAUCAGCUUGUUGGUGGGGUAGUGGCUUACCAAGGCUUUGACGGGUAGCCGGCCUGAGAGGGUGACCGGCCACAUUGGGACUGAGAUACGGCCCAGACUCCUACGGGAGGCAGCAGUGGGGAAUAUUGCACAAUGGGCGGAAGCCUGAUGCAGCAACGCCGCGUGCGGGAUGACGGCCUUCGGGUUGUAAACCGCUUUCGCCUGUGACGAAGCGUGAGUGACGGUAAUGGGUAAAGAAGCACCGGCUAACUACGUG